AUUGUUUUUAAUUUUUGUGGGUACAUAGUAGGUGUAUUUAUUCUUACAAUUUUUUUUUAUUUGCAGUAAAGUACACUAAUUUCAAGUGCCCAACCUAGUGGUUUUUCUACAUAUGUACACACCCAGAUGUUACCACUACCCACAUCAAGAUAUAGAGCGUUUCCAGCACCUCCUGUUUUCUUACAUACAUUUCCAGUCUAUUGCCUUCACUUAGAAUUAACCACUAUUUUGACAUCUAUAAAUAUUGUCAGAUUUGUACUGUUCUUUAACAUUAUCUAAAUUGAAUGAUGCAGUAUAUAUUUUUUGGGUCUGGCUUCUGGAACACAGCACAGUGUUUGUAAUUCAUCUAUAUUCUUGUGUGUUCUAGUGAUCCAUUCUUUUGUACUAACUGUAUAGAAUUUAAUUAUCUAAUUAUGUCAUAAUUUAUUCAUUAUCUUGUUACUGAGGCAUUUGAGCUGUUUCAAGUUAGGGACUAUUAGGAAUCACUUUUCUAGUAACUUUGUUAAGUCUUUUGUGAACAUAUACACCCAUUUCUCUUGGGUAUAUACCUAGGAGUGAAAUAAAUGGUUAAUUAUAAUAACUGCCAAAUAGCUUUCCAAAGUAGCACCAUUUUAUAUUCCUACUAACAAUGUAAGAGACUUCCAGUUGUUCCACAUCCUUGCCAAUACACGGUAUUAUUAGUCUUUUAAAUUUUAGCUCAAUUUUUUAAAAGACAGAGUCUUGCUAUGUUGCCCAGGCUGGAGUGCAGUGGCAUAAUCAUAGCUCACUGCAGUGUCAAACUCCCUAAACUGAAGCAAUCUUUCUGCAUCAGCUUUCCAAGUAACUGGGAUUACUGGUGCUCACAACCUUCAAAUAAUUUUUAGUAGGCCUUCUCCCAAUGCUUAACAGAUUUAUAGCUAAUGAUUCAAAAUUAACCAGGACACUUUUAAAUCCAAGUGAUAGAAAGUCAAAUCAAAAUAGUGUCAGCAAAAAACAGAAACGUAUGUUUCAUACCACUGGAAGGCUGUGAAGACAGGUUUUUCAUGUCAUGGCACACACAGAAAAUGAUAAUAUGUAUAAGAGCCCACAGGAGUCAUCUUAAAUCGGCUCAACUCUGGUUGCAGUUGGAGGCAGCAUGCCUGCUUCAGCCCAGCCUGGCUACCAGGCUGAAGGAACCAACACACAGAGGACUAAAGCAGAGACGAUGAACCCAAGUUGAUGCUCAACCCUGCUACCUUUGGCACCCUGGUUGGAAAGCUCUGAGGGCAUGCUGCUUCUGUAUUCUCAGGCAUGCUGUAUGGGCACUGCCAGCCAGCUUCAGAGAUGGGUCCAGGUCCUUUUAGACAUGUUAGUUGAUGCCCAACCUCUAGGGACACAAUUUCUUUCUGCAGUGGAUUCAUGACCUAACCUGGGCAAAUGAGCCUUGAGAGGACAUAUGCUAGAAGCUCAUGGAAAAGAAACUUUCUUGCUUUUCUGAAAAAGCUACUGAGAGAGCCCCUUUACUCUUUCUACAGGAUCUGGAGGAGGAAGCAGGCAGGCCCUGGGUCUACUGGCAACCAUCUUGUGAUCAUGAGUUGAGACUAUAUUACCAGGAAAUGAUCCCUACAGAAGGCAGAGUGCAGAGAGGAAGAAAACAAUCUGAGGACAUUAUUGAGUGCUGUAUUAAGCGCAGCAAAUUACAUGGGCCAAUAAAUACCUUUUCUUUCUUAAGCCUGUUGUUAUAACUGAAUGCAUCCUACUAUAAUGGUUAGAAAAUAAAAUAUUUUUAAAAUAGGCCUCUGUUACUUUUUUAACUUUACAGAAAUAACUAAAAGCAAACAACAACAUCAAAACUCAAAGAAUUAUUUUUUAAAAUUCCAUAAUAAGAACUGUAAAAAAUAGGAGAAACUUUCUUUCUAACAGGAGCCUAUUUCUAGAAACCAAUUAAAUCAUUACAAGUAAUAACAAUUUCUCUUUACAGAGUACCACAUGCCAAGCCAUGUACUAAGCAUAUUAUAUGCAGUAUCUCAUUUAAUCCACACAACAAUCUCAAGAGGGUUCUAUAAAUAUCCUCAUUUUACAGAUGAGGAAACAAAGAUUCCAAGAAUUUAAAUAAUUUGUUUAAUGUUGCACAGUAAGAAAAAGACUAAACAAAGAUUGAGUCCUGAUCAUCUAACUCUGAAACACCUACUCUAUACCAGUUCACACUCUGCCUUUCUAAGCAAGUAGCAUGCAUAGCUCUAAUCCGUACACCACCUUACCAGGUAGGGCUUACAGCAGAUGAGGAAAUUAACACUCACAGACAUUAUGUAACAUGAGGGAGGUCCCACAGCUAGCUAGUAAUUAUACAAAAAGAUAAGCCACAGGGCACAGAGCGUCGUCUCAGAGAUUAACAGGCAAGAUGAUGAAUACAUGGAAAAAGCCACCAAAGCUUGGCACUCAAAGAGCCCUUAAAGAUUCCCAGUUCAUAAAAAAAAAUUAGCUGCGUGUGGCGGCAGGCACCUGUAAUCCCAGUUACUCGGGAGGCUGAGGCAGGAGAAUCGCUUGAACCCGGGAGGCAGAGAUUGCACUGAGCCGAGAUCGCACCACUGCACUCCAGCCUGGACGACAGAGUGAGACUCCAUCUCAAAAAAAAAAAAAAAAAAAAAAGAUUCCCAGUUCAUCACCUUCUUUUUGUUCUUGAAGAACUGAGACCCAGAGACAUUUCUUAUCUUGCCCAGGGCAACACAGCCAGUAGGGGCAGAGGUACGACGACACAAGUCUUUGUUAAUCAACAUGUUUUUCUAAUACACAAGACUGCCUUUGAUGAACUGCAUUUGCAGGGCACCUGCUGAAUACACUUGAUAUGGGAACUUUUUCCUGUCUUAAUGGAGUAGAUCCAGCCUCCAGUACCUGUUUGUCUUAAUAGAGUCCCCUAAUUUUCCCUACAGAAACAACCUCUUUCCUCCUGCGUGCAGCCUUGAGAGGGCUGGUAAAUCCCCCUCCCCUGGACAUGCGACUUCAGUCACAACAAUUGAAAUUUCUCUCCUGGGAAUUUGUAAUUUGUCUAUGCUUUAUUUUGAUAAUAAAUCUUUGUUUUCCCCCAAGGAAUUUGGAAUCGAUUUCCAUUGUCCACAACCUAAGAACCUAUAACACUUAAGGCCUUUUUCAGUUGCAAGUGUUAGGAAACCCAAGCCAAA
rnacentral:lncRNA from 1 species